rnacentral:rRNA from 1 species
UACAGAGGUCUCAAGCGUUGUUCGGAUUCAUUGGGCGUAAAGGGUGCGUAGGUGGCGCUGUAAGUCGGGUGUGAAAUUUCGGAGCUUAACUCCGAAACUGCAUUCGAUACUGCGGUGCUUGAGGACUGGAGAGGAGACUGGAAUUCAUGGUGUAGCAGUGAAAUGCGUAGAGAUCAUGAGGAAACACCGAUGGCGAAGGCAGCUCGCUGGGGACGGUACUGACGCUGAGGCGCGAAAAGCAUGGGGGAGCGA